rnacentral:rRNA from 1 species
GAUGAACGCUGGCGGCGUGCCUAAUACAUGCAAGUCGAGCGAACGGACGAGAAGCUUGCUUCUCUGAUGUUAGCGGCGGACGGGUGAGUAACACGUGGAUAACCUACCUAUAAGACUGGGAUAACUUCGGGAAACCGGAGCUAAUACCGGAUAAUAUUUUGAACCGCAUGGUUCAAAAGUGAAAGACGGUCUUGCUGUCACUUAUAGAUGGAUCCGCGCUGCAUUAGCUAGUUGGUAAGGUAACGGCUUACCAAGGCAACGAUGCAUAGCCGACCUGAGAGGGUGAUCGGCCACACUGGAACUGAGGCACGGUCCAGACUCCUACGGGAGGCAGCAGUAGGGAAUCUUCCGCAAUGGGCGAAAGCCUGACGGAGCAACGCCGCGUGAGUGAUGAAGGUCUUCGGAUCGUAAAACUCUGUUAUUAGGGAAGAACAUAUGUGUAAGUAACUGUGCACAUCUUGACGGUCCCUAAUCAGAAAGCCACGGCUAACUACGUG